AUUGAACGCUGGCGGCAUGCUUUACACAUGCAAGUCGAACGGCAGCGCGGGCUUCGGCCUGGCUGCGAGUGGCGAACGGGUGAGUAAUGCAUCGGAACGUGCCCAGCAGUGGGGGAUAGCCCGGCGAAAGCCGGAUUAAUACCGCAUACGACCUGAGGGUGAAAGCGGGGGACCGAAAGGCCUCGCGCUAUUGGAGCGGCCGAUGUCGGAUUAGCUAGUUGGUGGGGUAAAGGCUUACCAAGGCGACGAUCCGUAGCUGGUCUGAGAGGACGACCAGCCACACUGGGACUGAGACACGGCCCAGACUCCUACGGGAGGCAGCAGUGGGGAAUUUUGGACAAUGGGGGCAAGCCUGAUCCAGCCAUGCCGCGUGCGGGAAGAAGGCCUUCGGGUUGUAAACCGCUUUUGUUCGGGAAGAAAUCCUCUGGGCUAAUACCCCGGGGGGAUGACGGUACCGGAAGAAUAAGCACCGGCUAACUACGUG
rnacentral:rRNA from 1 species